rnacentral:rRNA from 1 species
AAGCCUGAUCCAGCCACGCCGCGUGAGUGAAGAAGGCCUUCGGGUUGUAAAGCACUUUUAUCGGGAACGAAACAUUGUCGGCUAAUACCCGGCAAGACUGACGGUACCCGAGGAAUAAGCACCGGCUAACUCCGUGCCAGCAGCCGCGGUAAUACGAAGGGGGCAAGCGUUGUUCGGAAUUACUGGGCGUAAAGGGCGCGUAGGCGGUGCACUAAGUCAGGCGUGAAAGCCCUGGGCUCAACCCGGGAAUUGCGUUUGAUACUGGUGCGCUUGAAUCCAGGAGAGGUUGGUGGAAUUCCCAGUGUAGAGGUGAAAUUCGUAGAGAUCGGGAGGAACACCAGUGGCGAAGGCGGCCUUCUGGACCAAUACUGACGCUCAUGCACGAAAGCGUGGGGAGCAAACAGGAUUAGAUACCCUGGUNGUCCACGCCCUAAACGAUGCNAACUGGAUGUUGGGUACAUUACGGUACUCAGUGUCGAAGCUAACGCGUUUAGUUCGCC